rnacentral:rRNA from 1 species
GACUCCGACUUCAUGGGGUCGAGUUGCAGACCCCAAUCCGAACUGAGACCGGCUUUUUGGGAUUCGCUCCACCUUACGGUAUCGCAGCCCUCUGUACCGGCCAUUGUAGCAUGCGUGAAGCCCAAGACAUAAGGGGCAUGAUGAUUUGACGUCAUCCCCACCUUCCUCCGAGUUGACCCCGGCAGUCUCCCAUGAGUCCCCGGCAUAACCCGCUGGCAACAUAGGACGAGGGUUGCGCUCGUUGCGGGACUUAACCCAACAUCUCACGACACGAGCUGACGACAACCAUGCACCACCUGUGUACGAGUGUCCAAAGAGAACCCCGUCUCGGGGGCUUUCUCGUACAUGUCAAGCCUUGGUAAGGUUCUUCGCGUUGCAUCGAAUUAAUCCGCAUGCUCCGCCGCUUGUGCGGGCCCCCGUCAAUUCCUUUGAGUUUUAGCCUUGCGGCCGUACUCCCCAGGCGGGGCACUUAAUGCGUUAGCUGCGGCACGGAACUCGUGGAAUGAGCCCCACACCUAGUGCCCAACGUUUACGGCAUGGACUACCAGGGUAUCUAAUCCUGUUCGCUCCCCAUGCUUUCGCUCCUCAGCGUCAGUUGCGGCCCAGAGACCUGCCUUCGCCAUCGGUGUUCCUCCUGAUAUCUGCGCAUUCCACCGCUACACCAGGAAUUCCAGUCUCCCCUACCGCACUCUAGUCUGCCCGUACCCGAUGCAAGCCCGAGGUUGAGCCUCGGGAUUUCACACCAGACGCGACAGACCGCCUACGAGCUCUUUACGCCCAAUAAUUCCGGACAACGCUUGCGCCCUACGUAUUACCGCGGCUGCUGGCACGUAGUUAGCCGGCGCUUCUUCUGCAGGUACCGUCACUUGCGCUUCUUCCCUGCUGAAAGAGGUUUACAACCCGAAGGCCGUCAUCCCUCACGCGGCGUCGCUGCAUCAGGCUUGCGCCCAUUGUGCAAUAUUCCCCACUGCUGCCUCCCGUAGGAGUCUGGGCCGUGUCUCAGUCCCAGUGUGGCCGGUCGCCCUCUCAGGCCGGCUACCCGUCGACGCCUUGGUAGGCCAUCACCCCACCAACAAGCUGAUAGGCCGCGAGCCCAUCCCCCACCGAAAAACUUUCCAACCCACACCAUGCGAUGCGAGCUCAUAUCCGGUAUUAGACCCCGUUUCCAAGGCUUAUCCCGAAGUGGAGGGCAGGUUGCUCACGUGUUACUCACCCGUUCGCCACUGAUCCACCCAGCAAGCUGGGCUUCACCGUCGACUGCA